CCUACGGGAGGCAGCAGUGGGGAAUCUUGGACAAUGGGGGCAACCCUGAUCCAGCCAUGCCGCGUGAACGAUGAAGGCCUUAGGGUUGUAAAGUUCUUUCACCGGGGAAGAUAAUGACGGUACCCGGAGAAGAAGCCCCGGCUAACUCCGUGCCAGCAGCCGCGGUAAU
rnacentral:rRNA from 1 species